rnacentral:misc_RNA from 1 species
UGGAGCUGAAACCACAUCUUGGAGCAUCUGGUGUACCCUUCAUAAAGAGCAUAACUGGGGAAGAAGAGGUCAAUUUUUUCAGACGAUCUUCAAGGGUGUCUUUCUUGAUUCCUUUAUUUUCUAAAACCUUCUUAAGUUCUCCACUUCUCUGCAUCUGCAAUAGAAUAUCUGAUCCACCAAUCAGUUCACCCUUGAUAUACACUUGGGGGUAACUGGACCAGUUUGAAUAAUCUUUGAGCCCCUGGCGGACUUCAUCAUCAGAAAGGACAUCAAAACUCUCAAAGUCUAUAUUUUCUUCACGAAGGAUUUCUACAACCUUGUAACUGAAUCCGCAUUUGGGUUCAUCAGGUUUUCCUUUCAUAAACAGCAUAACUG